UACGGAGGGUGCAAGCGUUGUCCGGAUUUAUUGGGUUUAAAGGGUGCGUAGGCGGUUUGGUAAGUCGGCGAUGAAAGCCCGGGGCUCAACCCCGGAACUGUCGUCGAUACUGUCGAACUUGAGUACGGUUGAGGCUGGCGGAAUGGGCGGUGUAGCGGUGAAAUGCAUAGAUACCGUCCAGAACCCCGAUUGCGAAGGCAGCUGGCUAAGCCGUAACUGACGCUGAGGCACGAAAGCGUGGGGAGCGAACAGG
rnacentral:rRNA from 1 species